AGCGGCGAACGGGUGAGUAACACGUAGGUGAUCUGCCCAUCAGACGGGGACAACGAUUGGAAACGAUCGCUAAUACCGGAUAGGACGAAAGUUUAAAGGUGCUUCUGGCACCGCUGAUGGAUGAGCCUGCGGCGCAUUAGCUAGUUGGUAGGGUAAAGGCCUACCAAGGCGACGAUGCGUAGCCGACCUGAGAGGGUGAACGGCCACACUGGGACUGAGACACGGCCCAGACUCCUACGGGAGGCAGCAGUAGGGAAUCUUCGGCAAUGGGCGAAAGCCUGACCGAGCAACGCCGCGUGAAUGAUGAAGGCCUUCGGGUUGUAAAAUUCUGUUAUAAGGGAAGAACGACUUUAGUAGGAAAUGGCUAGAGUGUGACGGUACCUUAUGAGAAAGCCACGGCUAACUACGUGCCAGCAGCCGCGGUAAUACGUAGGUGGCGAGCGUUAUCCGGAAUUAUUGGGCGUAAAGAGCGCGCAGGUGGUUGAUUAAGUCUGAUGUGAAAGCCCACGGCUUAACCGUGGAGGGUCAUUGGAAACUGGUCGACUUGAGUGCAGAAGAGGGAAGUGGAAUUCCAUGUGUAGCGGUGAAAUGCGUAGAGAUAUGGAGGAACACCAGUGGCGAAGGCGGCUUCCUGGUCUGUAACUGACACUGAGGCGCGAAAGCGUGGGGAGCAAACAGGAUUAGAUACCCUGGUAGUCCACGCCGUAGACGAUGAGUGCUAAGUGU
rnacentral:rRNA from 1 species